GUGCCAGCAGCCGCGGUAAUACGUAGGGUGCAAGCGUUAAUCGGAAUUACUGGGCGUAAAGCGUGCGCAGGCGGUUUGUUAAGACCGAUGUGAAAUCCCCGGGCUCAACCUGGGAACUGCAUUGGUGACUGGCAGGCUAGAGUAUGGCAGAGGGGGGUAGAAUUCCACGUGUAGCAGUGAAAUGCGUAGAGAUGUGGAGGAAUACCGAUGGCGAAGGCAGCCCCCUGGGCCAAUACUGACGCUCAUGCACGAAAGCGUGGGGAGCAAACAGGAUU
rnacentral:rRNA from 1 species